GAGAGGUCGGUCGAGAGAGAGAGGUCGGUCGAGAGAGAGAGGUAGGUCGAGAGAGAGAGGUAGGUCGAGAGAGAGAGGUAGGUCGAGAGAGAGAGGUAGGUCGAGAGAGAGAGGUAGGUCGAGAGAGAGAGGUAGGUCGAGAGAGAGAGAGAGAGGUCGGGCGAGAGAGAGAGAGAGAGAG